GACGAACGCUGGCGGCGUGCUUAACACAUGCAAGUCGAACGGAAAGGCCUUUUCGGAGGUACUCGAGUGGCGAACGGGUGGGUAACACGUGGGUGAUCUGCCCUGCACUCUGGGAUAAGCCUGGGAAACUGGGUCUAAUACCGGAUAGGACCGCACUUUAGUGUGUGUGGUGGAAAGUUUUUUCGGUGUAGGAUGAGCCCGCGGCCUAUCAGCUUGUUGGUGGGGUAAUGGCCUACCAAGGCGGCGACGGGUAGCCGGACUGAGAGGUUGGUCGGCCACAUUGGGACUGAGAUACGGCCCAGACUCCUACGGGAGGCAGCAGUGGGGAAUAUUGCACAAUGGGCGCAAGCCUGAUGCAGCGACGCCGCGUGGGGGAUGACGGCCUUCGGGUUGUAAACUCCUUUCGCCAGGGACGAAGCGUUUUGUGACGGUACCUGGAGAAGAAGCACCGGCUAACUACGUG
rnacentral:rRNA from 1 species